rnacentral:rRNA from 1 species
AUAUUGCGCAAUGGACGAAAGUCUGACGCAGCAACGCCGCGUGAGUGAGGAAGGCCUUCGGGUUGUAAAGCUCUGUCAGAUGGGAAGAAAACUACUGGUCUAAUAGGCCAUGUACUUGACGGUACCAUCAAAGGAAGCACCGGCUAACUUCGUGCCAGCAGCCGCGGUAAUACGAAGGGUGCAAGCGUUACUCGGAUUUACUGGGCGUAAAGCGCGCGCAGGCGGACAAUUAAGCCAGAUGUGAAAUCCCAGGGCUCAACCCUGGAACUGCGUCUGGAACUGAUUGUCUAGAAUAUUGGAGAGGGAAUGGGAAUUUCUCAUGUAGGGGUAAAAUCCGUAGAGAUGAGAAGGAACACCAGAGGCGAAGGCGCAUUCCUGGCCAAUUAUUGACGCUGAGGCGCGAAAGCGUGGGGAUCAAACAGG